AUCCGAAUCGUUUGUGAAUCGCAUCACUGUUAGAAACCCAAGAGAAGAGAUCCUCUUCCCUUAACAUCAUCAGAGGAAAAAUCUGCUUCUUAAUCAAUUAGUUUCAGCGUUUGACUUCCCCUGGAAGAAGGGAACUCCGGCUCCGGGUACCUCUGAUUUGAAAAUGCAUAUGGAUGAGUAUUCUGCAGCCCUUAUAGAUAAGUUGCAUAAAAUUUGUACCAAGGUCAAUAAUACAAUAUUAUCUCCACCACACACCCCUUUCACGUGGGAGACAGGUGCUGGUGGGACUUUUUAAAGUAAUGAUUUGGACAAUUGGGAAAACGAUAUAAUGGGCCUGCAGACAUAGUCGCCAUUACUUUUGCUGCUGUUUUAACUGAUCUUUUUCCACAGUGGAUCCAUGCCACUCGAUUGAAGAAGGCUCCAUAACAAAGUUGUGUUACAAUAACAAGUUUGCUGCUAUUAAUGCUUUUUGUGUCCCUAUCUAGUCUCCCUCUGGCCAGUUUUCUCUCUCUCUCUCUAUUUCUGAGCUCUGCACAGAUUCGACUGAGAAUCCUCAAGACGUUGUGAACAAAGAGGGGAAAAGAUCUUGUGCCCUGUUUGGAACCAAUCAUCCUCACUACAACCAUGACAGUCCUCAUCACGGGUUUCGUGGCUUCAUUGUUGCUCGGGGCAGGGCUACCCGCCCGAGCCUUCGUGACUGCUUCAUCUUUGCUCGGGGCAGGGUUACCCGCCCGAGCCUUCUGGACUUCAUUGCUCGGAGCAGGGUUACCCGCUCGAGCUGGACUUCAUUGCUCGGAGCAGGGUUACCCGCUCGAGCUGGACUUCGAGACAACACCUUCUGGACUAACUUCGCUAACUGGACUGCACAAGCGCACACCACACGAAUGUGUUAUGUCUUUCAUCUGAUGCCGUUUUCUACUAUUAUUACACAUCUUUAUGCUCUGAAACUCUGUAUUCUUACAGGACUCUGUUCCCUCACUGUUUUAGAACAAAUUACUCUGAAGGAAGUAGCGUGUAUUUGGGAAUUAAGAGGUUUUGAGUUUCUCUAAGCUCCGGUGAGGUGGGACGAGGGCUGAUUGGGCAUGCCCGCCCUCUGAGCACCAAUAUACGUCAAGAAGGGCAAAGAUUAACUCAGGAUUAAUUCUCGAUGUAAUCACAUAUAUGAUCAUGAAGUGAUAAUAGGAUUUGAUAAUAGUGAUACUAUUAUCAAAGGGGGGGAUUGUUAGGUUUAUAUAAGUAUUAUUCUUAUUAUUCUUAUAAGUAUUAUUAUUAAAAUGGUGACAAAAUUAAGAGUUAACUUAAGGUUCAGUUAAAAAUGACCUUCUGUCUCGGCUGGACAUUGUUUGGGAACAUUUUGUUUAUGAAAUGUGUAUUUUGAACAGAGAAGUGUCUGAAGGACCCACCAAGGUCUGUUUUAGUGUCAGAUCGACCCACACACACACUUUAAUGUUGGAUGUAAUGGUAGCCUUAUUGCUGAACAAAGAGUUAAGACUCUUAUAUUAUAUUUUUAUAGUAUAUAUUAUAGUAUAUAUUACUUAUAGUAUAUUUUAGAGCUUUUUAUAGUAUAUUUUAGAGCUUUUUAGAGCCUUUAUUAUUUUGGACUAUUGCAUAUACUAUGGCAGUGAUUUUAAACUGUUCCUGUGUAGCCUGACCUUCGUCCAGUGGAGAAGAACACUUCUUUGUUAGACCAAACAUAGUCUUUGUUUAAAACAUUGUCGAAUUGCUGAAAUAUUAUUUUGCUUAUGAUUGAAGGUUUCAUUCACACACACAUACAUAUGGAAUUAAGAUGUGAUUUGCUGACCUAGCACAUAGACACAUAUAUCAAAAUGAUGUCACUCACUCACACCCUCCCAUAGACAGACAGACACACACACCCCUCUCUGAGGUCACAUACAAACACACACACAUUUGACAGACACAAUAGCCGUUUGGAGAGAUUAUGAUUUGUUAUAAAAGGUGUUUGUAAUCUUUCAUCUUUGACGAAGUGACUGUGCAAAUAAACUGGCAUGUGAACAA